AUGAACCUUUGUUUAUUGGCUUCCUGGGUCAAGAGAUACUUCCUAGAUGAUGGCAAGAUUUGGAAACAAGUCGUAGAUGCCAAGUACAACACCCACAGCCCUAAUAUCUUUGCUUGUAUUGCCACUGGUGCUUCCCCCUUUUGGAAAGAGAUCCUAUGGGCUGCUAAAGCCGCUAACAUAGGUUAUUCCUGGUGUAUUGGGAAUGGCAAAAGCAUCAGGUUUUGGAGAGAUCGGUGGAUCGGGCAAACUACUCUAGCCACUAAAUAUUGGAGGCUAUUUAGCAUCGUCCAUGAUAGAGAUAUUGUUGUGAGUGAUGCCUCGGACGGCUCCAAUCUAAAGAUCUCUUUUAGAAGAUAUUUUACUAGUGAUAUGUUAGCUGAGUGGAAUGAUCUAUUCAAUUACAUCAAGGAUACUGUGCUAACAGAUAUGGUUGACACAGUUAGAUGGGGGUAUGAUGCUAAGGGUGUUUACUCUGUUAAAUCCUUCUACAGUAUUAUUAAUUUUAGAGGGAUUCACCCUGGGAACCUCCUGUCCAUUUGGAAUAUAAAAGUUCCGCUGCGUAUUCAUAUUUUUCUUUGGCUAGUGGCUAAAAAUAAGCUUCUGACUAGAGAUAAUCUUCAGAAAAGACAGUCGGUAGAUGAUAUUACCUGUCUUUUUUGCAAUGACCCCGAAUCUAUGGAGCAUUUAUUUUUUGGCUGUGUCGUUGCGAAGGAACUUUGGAGGGUGAUUGGGGACUUUUCUAACAGCCAACCUGGAAUGUCUAUAUCUGACAUACUAGAAUGGUGGUCCUCCAAUAAAAAUCGCCCCGCAGAUUGUUUACUUCAUUCCGCUGCCCUUUGGGCUUUGUGGAAAUAUCGUAACGACAUGUAUUUCAAUCGUAUCCCUUGGUCUGGAAUGCAGGUGCGUGGAGAAAGACUGCUGCUACGUUGGACAGCUGGGCGAUUCGAUGCUCAGAUCCUGUCAAAGGAAAAGUGCUGCACUAUGUGCGAAAGAUGGAGCAGUUGGCAAGAUCCCCACCCCUCCUGUUAUGGCCAGAUCCUGGCUAGGUCUUCAGAAGUGCUCGGAGGUGCUGCUUGGUCGUGA
rnacentral:rRNA from 1 species